rnacentral:lncRNA from 1 species
CUGUCACAACCCAAUCAAAUUUGAUUGCAUAAUAAGAAAUGCAGUAUAGCUAGGGAAUGACCCUAGGUCGUCUCUCAAGGACCAACUGCGGUUCAGAAUCAGGUCUAACACAUAGUGGGGGAUUUCAAAGUGUUUUCCAAGGAAAAUAAAACUAAAUUAAAAAUGGAAAUUAAACCGAGAAUAAUUAAAAGCAUUAAAGUAAACGAAAACAUUAAACUGAACAAUGUGUGUGAACUAAUUAAAGUGGGAAUAAAACUUAGAAGAAAUUGCAUCGAAUAGGCUAAAGAAAUUAAAAGACGAUUCAUGACAUGGCACAAAGAAAAGGAACAAUACAUUAACCAUAAACUAAAUGACAAUUGUUGAACUAGUGAAAGGGCUUGAAACAAUAAAUGCAUUUACGGCAUUUGGCU